GCUAGUGCUUAAUUAAAGUUUAAUACUGAAGAUGUUAGGAUGGACUCUAAAUAAGUCCCACAAGCA
rnacentral:tRNA from 1 species